ACUCCUACGGGAGGCAGCAGUAAGGGAUAUUGGUCAAUGGGCGAAAGCCUGAACCAGCAACGCCGCGUGCAGGAUGACGGCCUUCGGGUUGUAAACUGCUUUGGAAGGGGACGAGCAAGGACGGUACCCUUCGAACAAGUCACGGCUAACUACGUGCCAGCAGCCGCGGUA
rnacentral:rRNA from 1 species